rnacentral:rRNA from 1 species
AGGUGGCGAGCGUUAUCCGGAUUUACUGGGCGUAAAGGGUGCGUAGGCGGUCGUUUAAGUGGGAUGUUAAAUACUACGGCUCAACUGGGGUGAUGCAUUCCAAACUGGUUAUCUAGAGUGCAGGAGAGGAGAGUGGAAUUCCUAGUGUAGCGGUGAAAUGCGUAGAGAUUAGGAGGAACACCAGUGGCGAAGGCGGCUCUCUGGACUGUAACUGACGCUGAGGCUCGAAAGCGUGGGGAGCAA